GCCGGGGUGGCGGAACUGGUAGACGCGCCUGACUCAAAAUCAGGUGGCCUUUGGUCGUGCGAGUUCGAUUCUCGCCCUCGGCACCA
rnacentral:tRNA from 1 species